CAUCUGUUUGCGGAUCUGGACUGAUUCAUCGCCAAAUCCGAGAGGAUGGAACUCGCCUCGUAUCAAAAUCUCCACAAUAUAAAUGAAACAUCAAUUACCUUUUGAGAUAAUUCCUGACGAGAAACAAACAGUAAUAGUGCAGCAGAUAAGUAAAAAAAUACUUCAGUUUGUGAUACAAGAAUGAAAUUUGGCACAAGAGCUCAUUUUAACUUCCGCUUGUGAAAAAUCUAGGUGUUCACGCAAAAUUUCAAUAUGGCCGCCACUUUCCAAGAUGGUAGUUUCGAUUUCUAACACUGAGUAAAUUAACGUUGAAGUUAAUACAUCAAUGAUUAUCCAGAUAAUGUCUUCCUUGGUAGAAGAGUUAAUUGAAACUUGAUAACUCAGCAACUAACAAAGAUAGAGACUGUUUUUAGCAAUUCUAUUGGGCUUUUAUCAGUACUACAUCUUGAUAAUAGUGGCAUCUCCCAGUCGGGCUGAUAUGCAGCACCCUGCCUUAGGAAAUGCUCAUGCCAUGAUCAUGAAGCAUUUCUACCAGGUUUCUCGUCCUGGUCUUGGCAUAGAUAGCCAUGCCCAUGAACAGUGGAAACGGAGUUUCCGUAUCCUUUGAGCGUCGAUGUACACUUGCUCCUUCCAUCUGUUUUGUAGAGCUGAGCAAUAACCAGGUCUGACUUCGAUGAGCCAAACCUUAGCAGUGACUUUGUGUCUGCUCCAUUUUCGACCAUACUAGUGAACUGGAGCAGACUUUGAAGUAUGGCAGCAUUGAUGCAUCCUUCACCAAAAGUGCCACCGAACGUGGACUGAUGAUCCAGAAUAUGCUUCCUUUUAUCUUUGCUGCUUUAGGAAUCAUAAGUGUAUCUGAGUAGUCAGAUUCCUGAGGAAGGGCUAACGCUACCUAUUUCUGCAAGGCAAGUAGAUGCUUCUUCCUUUCUUGUGUGCUUCUAACUCAGCUAUUUCUGCUAACAAUUUGUCCUUUAAUCUUGUUAUAUUUACACUGGGUGAGGCAAUGCCAAAUUGUUCUCGGCCCUGCUGGUAUAAUUGGGAUAUGUCUGCAAGAGGAAAUAUGGCAGGACCAUCUGAACUCAAGCUGGUUUCAAUAAUAUAAUUAACCAACUCUGAUAGAACCAAUGGGCAUACAUCUGGUUCUUCACUGUGGCAAUGUUCCUUCUCAAGAUUUCUAAGAUGGGACCUCUCCCUAUUUUAAGGCCAGUGAGAAUACAAGAUGGUAUUUCAGCUCUUGUGCAAUUGCAUCACCUGCACCUAGUUUAGCCAAUAAUUUACCACUAUUAAGUGUGUUUAGUCUCCUGUUGAGAUUCAUGGUCAUUACUUGUCGAAGAUUUGAUAAAGAGGACACAUUUUCACAAAAAAUGAAUGCUGCAGUGUCAUGACUCAUUUGACGCUGUUGAGAGUGCUUUUCCUGUGGUUCACUACCUUCAUCUGUAGAUCUUCGCUUUCUUGCACGACCAAGUUUUGCAUUAUCAAACAUGACCCUACAAAUCUUGUGGUAUUUUGUCAGUCUGUCGCAGUGUUGCCUUUAUGCCACUGCCUUCAUCCAGCCCUGCUGGGUCAAAGUUAUACGGCAUUUCACCAAUCUCCUAGAACAAUGGGACAUUGGUUAAAAUCAUUAUGUACCCAUCAUGUUCAGGAUUUUGAUGUUCAGAAGCCAAGGGUGAAGUUAGACCUUUAUUUUUCUUGUCUUCCUGGCAACGACAACAUUUGCUCCAGUCGGCCUUCCUUUUGCCUGUGAUUGAAUUUACACUUGCCACUAUGAGCGCUUGACUAAGGCUGAGGGGAUAUCCUUUUACCACCUUAAUCUGAUAAGUACAUUGAUAUAUGGGGUACAACUAGGUCCAGUCACCCUACACCUAGCCUGAUCAUUCAUCUAGUGCCAUUUAAGUCCCAUGUGAUCUGUACACCAUCUGUACACAAGCCAUGUAGAGCCCCAAUUAUCCUUGGCUUGACUUUCUGGUGCUAGCGCCUCCUGUCAGUUCUUAGAUAUAUCAACUAUAUGUAUAUAUAUAUACUCUCUACCAGCAAAUUCAUAUGGGGCUAUCAGACAGCAUUUGGGACACUAAAUUACUAACCUACACUAAAGCAAAGCUAGGUACAGCGUAAGUAGAGCAAUAUUAGCUGACACUGAAACCCAUGCUGACUUACAUAGCAGUGAAGUUUCCAGUGCGCCGUGGUUAUGCGUUGACAUUCACUCUUUUAAACUAAAACUAAAGACAAAACCACCACCUAAAUUAUAUAUGGCUUUGCAAACUACCGUACUGAACAGGAAGACAUUUUUACAUACUUACUAAAUCCCGAGACGCUAUCAUUUAAGGUUUUUGGCUGCCAUAUUGGAUGCCAUCUUUUUUUUAUAUAUGCUAUAUGAAAUCUUUAACAGAAAUACAUUUUAAUUUUGCUUGGUGACUCUGCCUUAAAUGUGUAUAACCAAAACAAAUACAAAAAAACAUGACCAUAGGCACGUGAGUCCCAUUUUAAAAUCUUGACUAGCGGCCAUCUUGAAAAACGGCAGCCAUUUUGGAAUUUUGAGUGGACACCCAGUAAUUUUCAAAAUGUGGCCUAUGGGGAAGACAUAUACUAAAUUUCUUGUUUAAAUCAUUAAAUGAAGUGUUUUAGUGAAAAAAUGAUUUUAUCUCCUGCAUUAUAGGGCAACGAUGACUCAACAACAUCCGUGCAAUUUCGUCCAGCGGAGGUAAAUGGAUAUUCUUUUAAUCGUGUGAUUUAAUUCCUAUAUUGAUUACAGGAACUACCCCCAUUUUUUCGUUCACCUGAAACCCCGCGUUGAGCACGAGGAGGCAAACUCCGUCAUCGAUUACCCGGUUUACGCAAAACAGUUCAGAAGUGCGUCAUUACUGAUAGAAGCAACGCAAAGGGAAAAAUUAGAUUCCAGUUCACGUCACGGGGAAAGAAACGACUCGGAAAUAGAAGGAAUCGGGGGAAGACGCAGCUGAAGAAACCUUCCGAUUCCAGGAAGCUCAAAGGAGGCGAAGUGGAAAUUUGCACACUGAUGGUCAGCGACAAAUGGAAAUUAGUGAUGGCUGCAGAGAAAGCCAAAAUCAAAGAACCGAUAGAAAAGUACCAAUGUAUAAAGCUGGAAAUAAGGAGACUAUGGCAAGCUGAAGUAGACGUAAUAUCAAUCAUCUUUGAGUACUAGGAGCAAUUCCACAGGACCUCAGGAGGAACCUGGAGAGGACCGGAAGUACAGGAAGGAUCAUUAGGAGGGUGCUGCAAUCCUACUAAGACAGGUGAAUGUGCUUCAGAUCCUCAGGAGGCAGGCUGGACCAGGAUUCAAACUCGGAGGUACCAACCUUGCAAGGUUGUGGAAAUACUAUUUAUACGAGCUUGUUGGCGCACUACGUACACUGGAACCCAGGGCUGCCGCCUCCCCUACCGUCCCCAUCUCCUACCUAUCCUACCCAAACCCGAAACGGACAAACAGGUAUGCAGGAGGAGGUUGGAUGUUUCCCCUACCAUCCCGAUACCCUAUCUACCCCUCCCGACCCGGGGCGGACAAACUGGUUUAGCAGGAGGUGGGUGGCUCCCUACUGUCACCCAGGGGAGGAAGAACAAGAUCAGAUCUACUCGGAUUUUAUUAUUAUAGAUUGUUUGUUUCACUGAAGAUGGUUGUUGCUUCAGAUAAAUUUCAUUUGUAAUAUGAUGCUUUCAUUAUUUCUGACGACUGGUUUUUAUUUUUGACAGGGAAGCCACUAAUAGUCGUCCGAAGGCUAUUUUGGCUCCAGUAGUUUAUACUUUUCAUUUGGUAUAAGAAAUUAUAUA